rnacentral:rRNA from 1 species
UAAUACUAAUUAUUAUAUAUCUACUUUUUUCACUAAUUCUUUUGAGGAUAAGCUCAAAGAGAAAGUUAAGAUAUUUUUUAUUAUAAGCCACUGUGUGGGCUUAAAAUUGGCCACCACAAAAGUUUGUUAUAAAAUAAUGGCUUUAACUUAAAAAAUAAAUAUAUUUUAAUCUAACUUCUUACGAAAAUAAAAUCUUUAAUUAAAGUAAGUUUUAUACCUAUGCUAAAAUGAGUAUUAUAAACUAGUAUUAAAUAUGAAAAAUAUUUCUUAAGUAAAGAUAUUUAAAUAAACAAAUUAAUUAAAAGGAACUCGGCAAAUUUAGUUGCUUCGCCUGUUUAUCAAAAACAUGGCUCUUUGCUUAUAUAAAUAUAAAGAGUCGAACCUGCCCAGUGAAUUUUUCAACGGCCGCGGUACUCUGACCGUGCAAAGGUAGCAUAAUCAUUUGCCUUAUAAUUGAAGGCUAGUAUGAAUGGUUUGACGAGAGCAACGCUGUCUCUUUUUUAUUUUCAAGAACUUAACCUUUAGGUGAAGAGGCCUAAAUUUUAUUGAAGGACAAGAAGACCCUGUCGAGCUUAAAAGAUACUAUAGAAGUUCAUAUAUUUUUAAAUAAAUUUUCUAUCCAGCUUUUUAGUUGGGGCGACUAAGGAACAAAAAAAGCUUCUUGCUAAUAAUAAACACUCAUGUCUAGAUCCGGCAAUAACCGAUCAAAGGAAUUAGUUACCGCAGGGAUAACAGCAUAAUCUCUCUCAAGAGGCCUAAUCGAAAGAGGGGGUUGUGACCUCGAUGUUGGACUAGAA